UCGAGAAUUUUUCUCAAUGGGGGCAACCCUGAAGGAGCGACGCCGCGUGGAGGAUGAAGGUUUUCGGAUUGUAAACUCCUGUCAUUGGUGAACAAAGCCUUGGGUUAACUGCCUGAAGGUUUGCUAGUAGCCGAAGAGGAAGGGACGGCUAACUCUGUGCCAGCAGCCGCGGUAAUACAGAGGUCCCGAGCGUUGUUCGGAUUCAUUGGGCGUAAAGGGUGCGUAGGCGGCGGGGCAAGUCUGAUGUGAAAUCCCGGGGCUCAACCCCGGAACUGCAUUGGAUACUGCCUUGCUUGAGUACUGGAGAGGGAACUGGAAUUUACGGUGUAGCAGUGAAAUGCGUAGAGAUCGUAAGGAAGGCCAGUGGCGAAGGCGAGUUCCUGGACAGUUACUGACGCUGAGGCACGAAGGCCAGGGGAGCAAACGGGAUUAGAUACCCCCGUAGUCC
rnacentral:rRNA from 1 species